ACCCCUUAGUGGAAUUUAAAAUCAAUCAUAAAAAAUUUCAAGGUAUCGUAGAUACUGGGGCAGAUAAAUCUGUUUUAUCGGGCGGAUUUUGGCCCAAAAGCUGGCCUUUAUAUAUUGCAUCUGCCAAUUUAGAAGGCAUAGGACAGAUCUCUCAACCUGCUCAGAGUGCCCAGUAUCUUUGCUGGGAAGACCGAGAUGGAAAUACUGGAAUUUUCAAGCCUUAUGUUUUAGACACGUUACCGGUAAAUUUAUGGGGUAGAGAUAUCCUCAGCAGCUUAGGAUUAUUAUUAGUAACUCCAAAUUCUAUCAUGUCAUUUGAGGGACUUAAUCAAGGAUUUACUCCUAGGGAAAUUUACAGGAAGAGUACCUACCCAUGACCCCAUCUCCCCAACAGAGAUUAAUUAAUGCACCCAGCCAAAAUUUUUGGUAGGGACCCUGACCUUUUCCCCCAACCCAAAGAACAGCAGAAGAAAUUAACUGGCUCACAGAACAGCCAAUUUGGGUUACUCAGUGGCCCCUAACAGGGGAAAAACUUAAAAUAGCCCACAUGUUAGUUGAGGAACAACUUCAGAUGGUCAUUUAGAUUCUACACUCAGCCCUUGGAACACACCCAUCUUUGUAAUUAAGAAAAAAUCUGGUAACUGGAAAUUAUUACAAGACCUUAGAGCUGUUAAUCAUGUUAUAGAGCCCAUGGGAGCAUUACAAUCUGAGCUUCCUU
rnacentral:lncRNA from 1 species